rnacentral:lncRNA from 1 species
GAAAAACGUACCUUCCUCAUUUUUAUAAGGCUAGUAUAUCUUUGACAUCAAAACUGGUCAAGAACAAUAAAAGCAAUGUACUUUAUAGAUACAAUUAUUUUUUUAACCAUCAAUGCAAAACACACACAGAAAAGAAAAUCACAGUUCAGAUAUGUAUAAAAAUGGUACCAUGAUGAAGUCGAAUUUGUCCCAAGGAACACAAGCUUUUCAACUCUAGAAGAUGUAUUGGUGUUACUCUGCAACAUAUUGGGAAAAAAUGUUGGAACAGCAAUUCUCAUGUUUCUACACAUCUUGCCAGUUGAGACUUUGAUUCUUUUUUGUUCAGGAUUGUCUUUUAAGCAUGCCUGUUAAGUGAACAGCCUUGGAAAAUAGAGAUAGUGUUUCUCCCUGAAGCAAAAGCCAGGUAUGCUUACUGUCAAGUAUAAUAAAGAUGUCUUCCUCUAGAGCAGGGUGCAAACAUUUUAAGACUUGGGUUCCCUAAACUCAGAUUUCAUGUUGUGCAAUGCAACCUACUGCUUUUGCAGGCUCCAUCUGGGUCCAUCUGUUUUUUCCCAUGGGACUUUGGGGUGAGGGGGCACGACACAAAUAUGCUGAUGUGUGUGCUGCUUGCCAUGGGUAAAAAUGUCCGUUGAUUCUGACACUGAAAUCUCAUGUCCUCUGCCAGCAACCAUGGGAUGAUGACAGGCUAACCUGCAAGUAAGGUAAAAGCUCACACCCUUUAGUUCUUGACUAUACCAAAUGCGGAAAUAGCAUUUGGCAAAAUCCAAAAUUCAUUCAUGACAAAAAUCUUUAGCAAACUAGGAGUCAAAGGGAAUGACUUUCACUCUAAGGCAUAUAUAUCAAAUACCUAUAGUAAGCAUACUUAAUGGUGAAAUUUUAGAAUGAUUUCCAUUUAGGUUGGGAUCAAAAUGCGAAAUUCUAUCAUUACUUCUAUUCAGCUUAUACUGGAGCUCUUAGACAAUGAAGCAAGACAAGAUACAGGAACUAGAGGUAUAAGGAUUAAAAAGAAAAAAAGAUUAAGGAGGAAAAAUUCAAGAGAAUCUACCCACAGGCUAAAAAAGUCUUCUGUGUGCAUAUCUGAAGAAAUUCUAUGCAUUGGGUCUAAGCCUUUGUGA